UACGGAGGGUGCGAGCGUUAAUCGGAAUUACUGGGCGUAAAGCGUACGCAGGCGGUUUGUUAAGCGAGAUGUGAAAGCCCCGGGCUCAACCUGGGAACUGCAUUUCGAACUGGCAAACUAGAGUGUGAUAGAGGGUGGUAGAAUUUCGGAGUGUACGGUGAAAUGCGUAGAGAUCUGAAGGAAUACCGAUGGCGAAGGCA
rnacentral:rRNA from 1 species